GUGUUUAGUAGAAAGACAAUCCUUUUUUCUUCCAGUCAAUUUUUUCUUUGAUCUACAGAACUUGCUUCUUUUCUCUGAAGUUUUCACAAUACAGCAUGAUAGAAGGAGCACAGAGUGCCAGAGGCAGGGAAUUCCUAUGCUUCACUAGUGACUCAUAAGAAAACUUAAUAGAAGGUCUCUACUGCCUGCUGGCCCUGCAGUACCUGAUUGAUGUGGUCCCAAACUAAAGUAGGCUAACCUUCAUUGAACCAAGCACUUCAGAGCCAUGGGAAGAAGUAUGGGGGAAGGAGUCCUUGUACUCUGGCAAUGAGGAAAACAAACAUUAACAGUGCAAGACACAGUGAGAGUCACAGAUCCAUGGAUGGACGAUCCUUUUGAGGACAAUAGAGGGGGAAUUUGGAUAAGUUUCCUGAGUGAGAAACCUUCCAGAUGGCAAUCUGAAAGUUAGCUGUUCCUUCUCAAAACACAGAGCUUUCUCAAGAGAAAGAUAACACCCUCUUUCAUCAGAGCGAGCGAGCUUUCUUCAUGGUGGCAAUUUCCAGUCUCCAGUGCAAGGAGGGGAAACUGAAGGAGAAUAAGGCGGUUACAUUCAGUUAGAGCCUGAGAGCAGAAUUUGGUUAGGCUGAAGCAGCUGGAAACUGUGGAAUGUAAUACCAGAGAGGAGACUGCCACACAAAGAACUCUAAAAAUUUUGAUUUUCAGCAAACCUUCAGAAGGCAAAAGGGAAAGUUUUCCCAUGGGCCAACGUGGAUAUGUUUCUGUAAUAGUCUGCUCAGCCUUCUACAACAAGAUGUCGCAGACUGGGUGACUUAAACCAGGGAUCCUCAAACCCUGGCAAUGGAUCGGUACGGGUCAGUGGCCUGUUAGGAAUCAGGCCACGUAGCAGGAGCUCAUUCUAGGGGAAACCAGCUGCCAUAUUAAGAAAACAGUCCUAUGGAAAGGGCCAUGGAACAAAGAAGUGACUUCUGCCAACAACCUCAUGAGUGAACCUAGAAGUGGCUCAUCUAGUCCUGGUCAAAUCUUAUGGACUGUGGCUCCAACUGAUAGUGUGACUGUAACUUCAUAAGAGACGCUGAACCAGACCACCCAAUAAGACACUCCCAGAUUCCCUACUCUCAAAAGUUGUGUGAAAUAAUCACCCCCAGUUGUAUUAAACUGCUAAGUUUUGGGGUAGUGUGUUACACAGCAAUAAAUCAUAAAUACAACAUCCAAGCAAUAAAUUUCUAUGAUAAAUACA
rnacentral:lncRNA from 10 species